AGCAGCCGCGGUAAUUCCAGCUCCAAUAGCGUAUAUUAAAGUUGUUGCAGUUAAAAAGCUCGUAGUUGAAUUUCGGAAUCUGUCCAUCGGUCGGGCUUCACUGUCCGUACUGGUGUGGUGGGUUCUUACCUUCUGAAUAACCAGCAUGCCAUUCACUUGGUGCGUUGGGGAAGCAGGACUAUUACCUUGAAAAAUUAGAGUGCUCAAAGUAGGCUAGUGCCUGAAUACAUUAGCAUGGAAUAAUAAAAUAGGACGGCAUGGUUCUAUUUUGUUGGUUUCUAGGAUCACCGUAAUGAUUAAUAGGGAUAGUUGGGGGCAUUAGUAUUCAAUUGUCAGAGGUGAAAUUCUUGGAUUUAUUGAAGACUAACUUCUGCGAAAGCAUUUGCCAAGGAUGUUUUCAUUAAUCAAGAACGAAAGUUAGGGGAUCGAAGACGAUCAGAUACCGUCGUAGUCUUAACCAUAAACUAUGCCGACUAGGGAUCGGACGAUGUUAAUUUUUAAUGACUCGUUCGGCGUACCG
rnacentral:rRNA from 1 species